CAGUCUUUGCCUUGUUCGUGACUCGGCACAUACGGUCGAACCAACGCUUCACCUACGGGAGCCCUAGAUCCGCCGGUGGAAAGGUAUCCCCCUCGACGGGGAAGCUCGAAACUGGCGUGCGGGCACCCACCUGCUAAGGCAGGUUCACCAGCCGAGUCACGGCAAGGCUUAGACGCU
rnacentral:other from 1 species